rnacentral:rRNA from 1 species
GACAGAGGGGGCAAGCGUUGUCCGGAUUGACUGGGCGUAAAGCGCACGCAGGCGGGGGCGCGCGUGGGGGGUGAAAUCUGGCCGCUUAACGGCCAGGCGCCAUCCCAUACGGCGCGCCUGGAGGGCUGCAGAGGUCGAUGGAAUUGCCGGUGUAGUGGUGAAAUGCGUAGAGAUCGGCAGGAACACCCAGGGGGAAACCAGUCGACUGGGCAGCACCUGACGCUGAGGUGCGAGAGCGUGGGGAGCGAACCGG